rnacentral:rRNA from 1 species
AGUCGAGGGGCAGCGGGGCGGCAGGCUUGCCUGCCGUUGCCGGCGACCGGCGCACGGGUGAGUAACACGUAUGCAACCUGCCCGUGGCAGGGGGAUAAGCGGGGGAAACCCCGUCUAAUACCGCGUAACGCGGCCUAGGGACAUCCCAAGGCCGCCAAAGGGAGCAAUCCCGGCCACGGAUGGGCAUGCGGCGCAUUAGCUAGUCGGCGGGGUAACGGCCCACCGAGGCGACGAUGCGUAGGGGUUCUGAGAGGAAGGCCCCCCACACUGGUACUGAGACACGGACCAGACUCCUACGGGAGGCAGCAGUGAGGAAUAUUGGUCAAUGGGCGCGAGCCUGAACCAGCCAAGUCGCGUGAGGGAGGACGGCCCUACGGGUUGUAAACCUCUUUUGCCGGGGAGCAACGGGCGUCACGUGUGGCGCCACUGAGAGUACCCGGAGAAAAAGCAUCGGCUAACUCCGUGCCAGCAGCCGCGGUAAUACGGAGGAUGCGAGCGUUAUCCGGAUUUAUUGGGUUUAAAGGGUGCGUAGGCGGAUCGUUAAGUCAGUGGUCAAAUUGAGGGGCUCAACCCCUUCCCGCCAUUGAAACUGGCGUUCUUGAGUGGAAGAGAAGUAUGCGGAAUGCGUGGUGUAGCGGUGAAAUGCAUAGAUAUCACACAGAACACCGAUUGCGAAGGCAUCUCACGAAUCCGCGAUUGACGCUGAUGCACGAAAGCGUGGGUAUCAAACAGGAUUAGAUACCCUGGUAGUCCACGCUGUAAACGAUGA